rnacentral:lncRNA from 1 species
GAGGUGAAAAAUCAAAUGUGAAAGCUAGAAUCUGAUGAAGGUUAAAAGAGUACAGUAAAAAAAAAAAAAAAAAAAGAUUGAAAAAGAGAGACAAAGGCGUGUUUUCAAUUGCUGGAUCUUUGCUGGACUGCACUAUGCUUGCAAUAUAAACGACAUUUUACCAUUUCCUUCUGCUUCCUGCAGUCAACAUUAACGGGAAUUACAUUUAGCUUUUCUGUCCUCGCCUGAUUUACUACCAGGCCCCUUAUUUUAAGACCGAUCAUACAAUGAUUGUAAAUCGACGUGAUAAGAUUUUUUGUCUCUUUUGAGAUAAAACAAUAAAACAAAAAUGAAAUAGUGACUUACUUCACAGGGGUUAUUAGAGAAGUUUUCUACAUUAAUUAUAGGUAUCUUUUUCUUCUGUUUUUUGGACUUUUUUUUUUUUUUUUUUUUUCUGAGUAGUCUGCUUUUGGAAUUUGGUGUUUUAUUUUGGGAUGUAUUACACGAGUUGGGUAUUGGCAGUCUGUAUAAAUGAAAGGCAUAUCAUUUCAUAAUAUUUGAUUAAGCAUUAGAAACAAGACAAAAAAAAAAAAAAGCAUAAAAUCAUGCAUAAACUGGUUAACAAUGGAACUCCCACUCAUUGCCCAGCACAAAUCAAAUCAUACACAAAUGAAAAUCAUGUUAAGACUUAAAAACUUUUUUCUAAGCGGCGUCACUUCCGUCACAGAAAGUUCAAUUCAACGUCAAUGGAUGCUGUUGGGAUCUCCAAAUCCCGCAUUUCCUUCGCAAUCAUUAGUUGAGAAGGUAAGAAGAGAUUAAUGGAAUUCUUUUUUUUUUUUUUUAUAAGGUAAAAAAGUAAAUUGCAUAGGAACAGAAAAAAACGAAAACGAACAAGAGAGAAGGUUAGGGAUUUUGGGAAGGCUGUGUCAGGAGACUCGCUGACUCACAAAGGAAAGGACAAGAACUCACCAAAGAACCGCGUUCUCUUUGCCCGUGGAACCAUGAGACAGACUCGCAGACUCGCGGGCAACACAACAGUCUGCCACGUUGAGUAACGUAGGUCUACAAACCCCUUCCUUUCAACCACACAAAAAAAGGAGCAUAUCAUAAAAUAAUAAUAAUAACAAUAUCUAAUAAUACGCUGCGGGCAAGAAGACUGAGGGUCAGAGUCAACUAAAUCUUACGUUGGAUGUGAAAUGGCGAUGUCUGAUUCGCUACUGGUACUGUCGACGUGGCCAGCUGCAUCUUCAAUCAACCAAACAAAAUCAACUUUGUAUGCUUUUGUUUUCCUCCACGUAAAAAAUCGAUGGACCCCGGACCCCAUAUAAACUGCUACUAUCUCUUUAAGAGGCAAAGCUCCGGAUCCUUCUUCCUUCUCUUUCGCCACAAAUGUUCAUCAGAAUUUCACAACAGAAAU